UCUUUCUCGUAGACCCAUGGGUUCUCUCUGAGCAAAAACUGUGAAAGAGUUUAUAGAAUACAACAGGAAAGACUUGAAGAUGACACCUUUGUAGUUGGAACUAAAAAAAGACUAACUUAACAAAUGUUGUCUGGAUUCUAUCCCAGCUCCUGUAAAUCAGCUAUUUAUCCAUUCUGUGCCUGCUUCUCAUUGACUCCAGCAUCAGCUUUGUGAACAGUCAGUCGAAUACGUCACUAACAGGCCAUUUGAUCCAGCCCGCCACCCCCAACUUGAAAACAGAUAUUUGAAAUUACAGAAAAGCCUUCACUAGCUCUCUCCAGGGUUGCCAGUG